rnacentral:rRNA from 1 species
UCAAGCGAACAAGUGCAUGUGGUGGAUGCCUUGGCGAUCACAGGCGAUGAAGGACGCGGUAGCCUGCGAAAAGCGGAGGGGAGCUGGCAAACGAGCUUUGAUCCUCCGAUAUCCGAAUGGGGAAACCCGGCCCGUAUGGGUCAUCCGUAACUGAAUACAUAGGUUACGUGAAGCGAACGCGGUGAACUGAAACAUCUAAGUAACCGCAGGAAAAGAAAUCAACCGAGAUUCCCAGAGUAGUGGCGAGCGAAAUGGGACCAGCCUGUACUCUUUAUCUUCAUUGUUAGUCGAAGGCUCUGGAAAGUGCCGCCAUAGCAGGUGAUAGCCCUGUAGACGAAAACAGCGGGGAAGAACUAGGUGUACGGAAAGUAGGGCGGGACACGUGAAAUCCUGUCUGAAGAUGGGGGGACCAUCCUCCAAGGCUAAAUACUCGUGAUCGACCGAUAGUGAACCAGUACCGUGAGGGAAAGGCGAAAAGAACCCCGGGAGGGGAGUGAAACAGAUCCUGAAACCGCAUGCAUACAAACAGUCGGAGCCUCUGCGAAGGGGUGACGGCGUACCUUUUGUAUAAUGGGUCAGCGACUUACAUUCAGUGGCAAGCUUAACCGAUUAGGGCAGGCGUAGCGAAAGCGAGUCCGAACAGGGCGAUUCAGUCGCUGGGUGUAGACCCGAAACCAGGUGAUCUAUCCAUGGCCAGGAUGAAGGUGCGGUAACACGUACUGGAGGUCCGAACCCACUAACGUUGAAAAGUUAGGGGAUGAGCUGUGGAUAGGGGUGAAAGGCUAAACAAACCUGGAAAUAGCUGGUUCUCUCCGAAAACUAUUUAGGUAGUGCCUCGUGUAUCACCUUCGGGGGUAGAGCACUGUCAUGGUUGUGGGGUCCAUUGCGGAUUACUACGCCAUAGCAAACUCCGAAUACCGAAGAGUGCAAUCACGGGAGACAGACAUCGGGUGCUAACGUCCGGUGUCAAGAGGGAAACAACCCAGACCGCCAGCUAAGGUCCCCAAAUAUUGCUAAGUGGGAAACGAAGUGGGAAGGCUAAAACAGUCAGGAGGUUGGCUUAGAAGCAGCCAUCCUUUAAAGAAAGCGUAAUAGCUCACUGAUCGAGUCGUCCUGCGCGGAAGAUGUAACGGGGCUAAGCAAUAUACCGAAGCUGCGGAUGCACAUUUAUGUGCAUGGUAGGAGAGCGUUCCGUAAGCCUGCGAAGGUGCAUUGAAAAGUGUGCUGGAGGUAUCGGAAGUGCGAAUGCUGACAUGAGUAGCGAUAAAGGGGGUGAAAGGCCCCCUCGCCGUAAGCCCAAGGUUUCCUACGCAACGUUCAUCGGCGUAGGGUGAGUCGGCCCCUAAGGCGAGGCAGAAAUGCGUAGCUGAUGGGAAGCAGGUUAAUAUUCCUGCACCAUUGUUAAAUGCGAUGGGGGGACGGAUCGCGGAAGGUUGUCCGGGUGUUGGAAGUCCCGGUCCUUGCAUUGGAGAAGGCGCUCAGGCAAAUCCGGGCGCGGAAUUCAAGGGUGCGAGGCCAGUCGCUUAGGCGACGAAGCAAUCGGAAGUGGUUCCAAGAAAAGCCUCUAAGCUUCAGUUUAACAGGACCGUACCGCAAACCGACACAGGUGGGCGAGAUGAGUAUUCUAAGGCGCUUGAGAGAACUCGGGAGAAGGAACUCGGCAAAUUGGUACCGUAACUUCGGGAUAAGGUACGCCCCUGUAGCUUGAUGCCCCUGCGGGCAGAGGGUGAAGGGGUUGCAAUAAACUGGUGGCUGCGACUGUUUAAUAAAAACACAGCACUCUGCAAACACGAAAGUGGACGUAUAGGGUGUGACGCCUGCCCGGUGCCGGAAGAUUAAAUGAUGGGGUGCAAGCUCUUGAUUGAAGUCCCGGUAAACGGCGGCCGUAACUAUAACGGUCCUAAGGUAGCGAAAUUCCUUGUCGGGUAAGUUCCGACCUGCACGAAUGGCGUAACGAUGGCCACACUGUCUCCUCCCGAGACUCAGCGAAGUUGAAGUGUUUGUGAUGAUGCAAUCUCCCCGCGGCUAGACGGAAAGACCCCAUGAACCUUUACUGUAGCUUUGCAUUGGACUUUGAACCGAUCUGUGUAGGAUAGGUGGGAGGCUAUGAAGCGUGGACGCCAGUCUGCGUGGAGCCGUCCUUGAAAUACCACCCUGGUUUGUUUGAGGUUCUAACCUUGGUCCGUAAUCCGGAUCGGGGACAGUGCAUGGUAGGCAGUUUGACUGGGGCGGUCUCCUCCCAAAGUGUAACGGAGGAGUACGAAGGUACGCUAGGUACGGUCGGAAAUCGUGCUGAUAGUGCAAUGGCAUAAGCGUGCUUAACUGCGAGACCGACAAGUCGAGCAGGUGCGAAAGCAGGUCAUAGUGAUCCGGUGGUUCUGUAUGGAAGGGCCAUCGCUCAACGGAUAAAAGGUACUCUGGGGAUAACAGGCUGAUACCGCCCAAGAGUUCAUAUCGACGGCGGUGUUUGGCACCUCGAUGUCGGCUCAUCUCAUCCUGGGGCUGUAGCCGGUCCCAAGGGUAUGGCUGUUCGCCAUUUAAAGAGGUACGUGAGCUGGGUUUAAAACGUCGUGAGACAGUUUGGUCCCUAUCUGCCGUGGGCGCUGGAUAUUUGAAGGGGGCUGCUCCUAGUACGAGAGGACCGGAGUGGACGAACCUCUGGUGUACCGGUUGUCACGCCAGUGGCAUCGCCGGGUAGCUAUGUUCGGAAGAGAUAACCGCUGAAAGCAUCUAAGCGGGAAACUCGCCUUAAGAUGAGAUAUCCCCGGGGCUUCGAGCCCCUUGAAGGGUCGUUCAAGACCAGGACGUUGAUAGGUCAGGUGUGGAAGCGCAGUAAUGCGUUAAGCUAACUGAUACUAAUUGCCCGUAAGGCUUGAUCCU